ensembl:lncRNA
UGAGUGUGUGUGUGUGUGUGUGUUUCCUCGAAUGUUCAUUUGGUGGCGCUGUGGCUCCUGUUUGGCCACUUUGAUUGAAAGACUGCGAAUGGAGAAAAACGCAGAACUUAAUCCAUUGGCAUCAGAUCCUGUGUAUGUCUAGCUGUGCAUCAUGGAAAGAAAGGUGUCAAAACUUAAUGCAACUAAAUACAGACAUAAGAAUGAUCAGAAAACUCAAGCAAGCAACUUAAAAAACAAAACAAAAAACAAAGGAACAAACUCAGAGAGGCAGAGGACACCGCUGAACAGCUGAUCUGCCGUUAGCUGCGUAAAUUUCCCUCACGGUGAGCAGCUCCCAGAGCCCAGCUGAAUUAAUCACAGCCACACGGACGCGGGGGAGGGGUGGGGGGCAGCCUGAGGAUGAGGACGGAGAGAAGGGUAGAAGAACCCGUGCUGUGAGAAGAGGUCAGAGCUGGAACAUCCAUGGAGUGAAAGGUAUAAUUGACUUCUGGGCUCUAGACAAGCUGCGGAGAUUUUCUGUUCCAGCUGAACCUCCAAAUAGCAACUCAUUAUAAAGGCUGCUUGUGAAAAUGAACUACUGAACAGAAGCAACAGUGAAGGGAAAUUCACAGAAUAAGUCUCCAGUGUCCUUCAUAUGUCUCUGUCCGACUCUCUCCGAAUAAGCCAGAAGCCCAAUCUGCUUGCUCAUUACACGGCUGGAGUGUUUAGUUGUGUGUGUUUUUUUUUAUAUAUUUCAGACUGCAGGCUGUUACUCACUGUUGACAUCAGACUGCAUUCUGAAAUCAGGAAGUGAUUUCCUGUCUUUCUUGUGGAAUGCAGACGCUUUAUGCUCGAAAAAUUAUAUGGCAGGAAAAAUAUAAUUAUGCCAUUUGUGUCACAGAACAACGAUUUUGCAUUUGACAGCAAUUUAAAGACAUUGAAAAUGUUAGCUGGACAUUUCCAGGAAAAUCUGACUUCACUCACUUAAUAUUCACAGCUGUAAUGGCCAUAUUUGUCAAAAACAUUUCAACAUCUGCCAUUUCAGUCUGACAGUAAGAGCAAUGAAGGUGAAGUUCCCUGAAGUAGCUGCAGAAGUCACCAAACUCAAUUAAGAGAUAUGACAUGGCUUGGUGAACAAUGUUCUCAGAAGAUUAUAGCAACUCAUUCAAGGAAAAAUUGUUACGCAACUCUUGCCAGUUGAAAGUGCAGGGACAGUCGUGCUUCAGAAAGGAUGAGAUGCAUCAAACCAUGUGACUGUACUGUAAGAGCUCUGGAUAUAUGAAACAAGCCUGACAGGAUGAGAGCUGUAAUUUAAUCAUGGGAUAAAAUCUCCAUGUUGAAGCACCUGGGGAAAUUCAGGCACCAUAAAUGGACAAUGGUAGAUAAUUCUGCUUGAAGAAAAACAGCAGUGUUGCAUGCGUCACAUUAUGGAGCCAAUUAGAACUACCUAUGGCUCUCUUACUGCAUGCAAAGAAAGCUGUGGCUCUAUAGCUUGUCAUUUGAGUGAUUGAACCCAAAGCAUUACGCAGCAGCUGAUGUCAGGGUGUGAUUCAGCGGCGGCUGACAGUAUUGAAAACAUGCCAAAUCCAGUGUAGGAUUAUACCAGG